UUUGUCAUAUGAAUUUAGUUCAAUAGAAUGAUUUGUAAUUUGGGUUCACUAACCUCUAAAAAUCAGAUCUUUUUCCUAUUUAUGGAUGUUGGUUGUGUAAUCCCUAUUUGAAUUUCUUGGUCCUUGUUGGUUAAUAGUUUGAUAAAGAUUAGCUAAAAGAAGAUAUAGUGCAUCAACAAUUAUUGAGAAGUCCGGUAGAAGUAUUUAAUUUCUCUUUAACUUCAUAUCUUGGUCUGCAUAUGUGGUCUGGUUAAGAAUGAUAUUACCUCUUAAUGUGCUAUUCAAAUUUAGUUAAUUGUAGAGUGUUUAAAGAAUGAUAUGUCCUUCUAACUAAUUGGCAAUAGGUUCCUGUGGUAAGCUCUAACAUAUCCUGGAAUAAUAAAUCACCAAAUUUAAUCUUAUCUUUAAGAUUCAGUUGUUUAAGGUCCGAUUUUUUUGUCUAUGUUUUAGUAAGUAAGCUACGUUCGAGAAAUGUUGUUUGAAGUGUUCAUUUAAAAUCAGUUUUACGUUCUAUGAAUAAGAUACUUGGAAGUAAUUAAAAUAUGGACCAUUAGUUUAAGACCUGAUGUUGCCCCUUUAAAGAAAAAAUGUGAUUGAGCAUGUUAAUUCCCUUGGUUCUUUGGAUAGUUAUUUUUACAAGAGGUACCUACUUCUAGAAAGCGAGUUUUGUUUUCAUGUUCAUCAUCAUCAGUUAUGACUUCGCUAUGCUAUCUUCCAUGUAUUUCUAAUGUGAAAAGCAUGUUGCAGUGGAUUACUUGGGGUCUUUGUACUCUUUGAUUCUUAUUCUCUUAUUGUAGUAAUGUUUCUUCCUCUUCUCUUUAUCUUCAUACUUGAAUAAUGAAAAUGCUCCCCUUUGCUGUCUUAUAGCGAUGCCUUGUUCUACUUGUUUAUGGUCAGUCCUUGCAAUAUAGUCACAUUAGUCAUCUUUGAGGUUCUCUCUAAGUCACGUGUGGCACUAGAGUCGCAAGUUUGGAUGACCAAGUGUCGAAUCUUCCUUUACAUUAGUGUCAAAGUUUGUUCUUGAGUGCUAGUUGUCCAUGCUACUUAUGAAGAUUGUGCUUUUCUUUUACA